rnacentral:tRNA from 2 species
CGGGGUAUCGCCAAGCGGUAAGGCACCGGUUUUUGAUACCGGCAUUCCCUGGUUCGAAUCCAGGUACCCCAGCCA